UACGGGGGGGGCAAGCGUUGUUCGGAAUUACUGGGCGUAAAGGGCUCGUAGGCGGCCAACUAAGUCAGACGUGAAAUCCCUCGGCUUAACCGGGGAACUGCGUCUGAUACUGGAUGGCUUGAGUUUGGGAGAGGGAUGCGGAAUUCCAGGUGUAGCGGUGAAAUGCGUAGAUAUUCGGAGGAACACCAGUGGCGAAGGCGGCUCACUGGUCCAUUACUGACGCUGAGGUGCGAAAGCGUGGGGAGCAAACAGG
rnacentral:rRNA from 1 species